CCUGCCCAUCCCUUUGACUAACAUCAAGUUCUCAGUGGAAAGCCUGGGCCUCAAUAACAUGAAGUCCUGGGAGCAAGAGACGGUGCCGCCCGGAAAGACCAUCAAUUUCCAGAUAGAAUGCACCCCAGUGAAAACUGGACCCAGGAAGUUCAUUGUCAAGUUUAUUUCCAGACAAGUGAAAGAGGUUCAUGCCGAGAAGGUCGUUCUCAUCACAAAGUAGCCCAUCUGAUACCAUUGAGAUGGAGGCAGGAGCCCUGAUUGGCUCUGAGCCUUGGUAAGCAUGUUAGCAUUUCCUAAAUUGCAUUUAGCUCUCAGGUCAGAAAUGAUUAAAUUUUAGGGGUUGGGGAUUUAGCUCAGUGGUAGAGCGCUUGCCUAGGAAGCGCAAGGCCCUGGGUUCGGUCCCCAGCUCCGGGAAAAAAAAAAAAAAAGAAAUGAUUAAAUUUUGAUUACUCAUAUGAAGGCAGAUUCAAGAGCCAGCCCAGCAAAAGACAGAGCUCAAAGGCCAAUGUAACCACCGGCAGUAGCUCCAGGGAGCCAGGUUACCUAAGCACAUGUCAUACAUAGGCAGACAUCUCAAAUACAUAUUUAGGAACUGUGGCCUCAGAAGACAGUGCCACUGUCAUCUGGAUUCAGAACCAUAUCCAGAGCCCAGAUAGAGAAGUGCCAGAGGCAUCUUCCAUCUACACCAUGGAUUCUAUCAAGUCCAGGGGUGCCUGGAGGCUGUGCUGGAAGUCCUGUAGGAAGCAUCGUGGAGCUGGUCCUUGACCAGGUGCUACAAGCUCUUACCCUAGGGCUCCGUCCUCUCGGAAGCAGGCCCCACGCUGGCGUGAGGCCCCUCUUGCUCUAGAUGGGCCAGGGGAGGGAGGCCCUUUCCUUAAGUAAGAGUCUAUGGCCAGUGACAACAUCUGAAGAAGCAAGGUAUCCUUCCCUGUUCCCUGGAGUCUGUGCUUUACUAUGCUGUAAAGGGAUCUGCUCAUGUAUCACUGUGCUUUGAAUUAAACUCUGGCAACUUUAAGAUGGCUAAGUGGUCCCGAGUUAAUUUUUCUUUUACACCAGCAUGCUGCUUAACUUAAUCUGGGGAGAGUCAUUGUCUCUGAACUUCAUGGAUCCAGGAGCUCUCUCCAGUGGGUUGGCCUCCUUGGUCUGGGCCAUCUUCGUGAUGGUCAGCCUCUCUCAAGGGCUGUAGUUCUGAGUGGACAUGAAUUCCAGAGGUACUGAGUACAGAUUGAAUAAGGAGUGUUUGGUGUAUUCAAAGGCCAUUCUUGUCUUAGGGUUUCUGUUGCUGUGAAAAAACACGAUGACCAAAAGCGAUCUGGGGAGGAGAGGGUUGAUUGCAUCUUACAGGUAACAGUCCAUCUCUGAGGGAAGUUAGGGCGGGACCCUGGAGGCAUGGGCUAAUGCAGAGGUCACAGAGAAGUGCUGCUUACUGGCUUGCUCCUCAAAGCCUGCCCAUCAUGUUUUCUUACACCAGCCAGAACCACCAGCCCGGAUGUGGCACAACUCACACUGGACCUGGUCCUCCUACAUCAACGAAGAGAAUGCACUGCACAUUUGUGUAAAGGCCAACCUUAGAGGCAUUUUCUCAACUGAGAUCCCUCUUCCCAAACACCUUUAGAUUGUGUUAAGUUAAUAUAAAACUUGUCAUCACUCCUUCAUUCACCUGAAACCAGAAAACCUCAAGUCCUCACUCCUUUUGCCCAGAUGCCCACCUCUGGGCCAUGCAGAUGUCUGGUAUGUGCUUGUGGCAUGACCUCUGUGUAUGUUGGGGCCAAGAAGGGUCAGUUAGUAACCCCAUGAAACCACUGUUAGAGUCUGUGUGACACUUGUUUUACACACUAGACCUGAGAGGAAGGAUGCUGUCCAGUGCUUUGGGCUAGGAUCUCCUGCUAAAAAAACAGGCACCUCUAGCCACAGAGGUAGACCAAAGAACUUUCAUUCAAACCGAGAGGCAGGUGUGCAAGCAGCCUCUGGCCUAGAAACACUGGGCCUCUUUUUAUCAGCUGCAGUGCUGAGUAGAAUCUCAUGAGUCACCCUGGAGAGAAAGUCAUUGUGUUCUGGUGUGAAGGCACAAGAUCCGGGGCUGGACAGACUACUACCUACAUGAUCCUGGCUGUCUGUAUCUCCUGGACAUGGGAGCAAUAUGGCUGAGGCCGGACAUGGUAAUGGGCUUGCUGAGGAGUGUGGAAGAUCUAAACCUGUAAGAGCAAAAUGCACACUUCAACCUUUCCAGGAAAAGCACUUUGGAAACAAAUGGCUGCGGGCUGGGAGGUACCUCUGCUGCAGGCCAUGUUGUCCCCAAGGAAGACUAGUUUCUGCCUCAGUGUGGGAGGGCAUUUAGUUAACAAAUCCAGACGCUGAAGCUCCUCCUUCUUUUAACUGCUGCUCCUUGGGGACCCAGUCACUAGCCCUGCUUUCUCCCUGGUGUGGAAUCUCUGGUUAUGAUCCAGCACAUAGGCUAUCCAGCUCUGUUUGGGGUUGGGGUCCCUGCACCAGAGGACAGUUCUCUGCACACAGUGCCAGCAACGUUAGGGCCAACUUGGGUUCCUCACGUUAUUGCUAAUAGACGUUAGAGCAGACCUGCUUGGAGGAAGUGCACUCGCAGUGGGGUGAAGUAGGCCACAGCUGCUAAUGCUCAAGUCUGAGGGACGACCUAGGACGCUGCCCAAGAAUUGGACCACUUGGCUCCUCACAGCGAUCCUUUCUCAGGGUCCUGGGACAGUACCUCGACUGACUCAUGUCACUGAGGCCAUGGGUUCUGUUGGCCCAGGAACACUGGGGAAUGGUUCAAGGAGUGGGUUGGGGAGUUGGGUGUGUUUCUUGAGACUAACUGGUUAGACUGCAGAAGCUGCUGCUUUGGCAACCACUGCAAUAAUGGAUGGGGCGUGCAGGAGGUUGCCCAGACUGUCAGUAAAGCCAGGUACCUCAAGCUCCAGUGAGCAGACUAGGUCCAAGCUCAUCCUGGGAGAGCAGUGUCUGGGGUCUUCCUGGUUUAAGCAGUCUGCGUGUCUUGACCACCACACAGUUCUUCUUUUGUUGUUUUUAAGACAGGGUUUCACUAUGUUGCUGGAACCAUGUGGACCAGCCUCGCCAGACAGAGACUGGCUGCCUCCUCUAAAUGUUGGGGAUAAGGCAUGUGUCACUAGGUCUAGGAAUGCAGUUUUCU
ensembl:lncRNA